GUUGUAUUCAAGAAGGCUGGAUAAUUAAUUUCAAAUGCCGUUCGUUGUGUGUGCAACCACUGGCAACCGCAACGUCUACUACUUCGCACAGAGCGACAAGAUCGAACGAAGGCAACACUGCUGUGUGUAUGCUGCUGGUGCCAGACGAAUCUCCGACACGGUCAGUGGGUUAGGAAGCGCCGCGAAACUGCGAACGAAUCAUGAAUAAAGUUCCUUCAUUCGUCGGUCCUUUCCUGUCACUGCUUUUCAACGAUGCACGACUACCCCCCCGGUCGCCCCUUGCCUCAUGGAUCUACGAGCUAGCGCCACGCUAAAUACUGUUACGGUUGGUCAACCUUCGCGAAACCCGUGUGUCGAGUUAAGAGUGUUGAGUUUGUUCGUGUGCAAAAUACCGCGGCCGCGGCCACUUUCGGC